CCUGAGAAACCCAAAAGAUCGAAUGGGGAGAUUCAUCGCAAGCGCGGCUGGCUUCCGUGCGGUUCGCGAUGGCCGGGACCUCGGUCUCGCGUCACGCGUCCGCUGCGGUAUGUCCGGCCGCGUCGGCGUGCACUUCUCCCCUAGUAGGACGUCGCGACCCGUUGGGUGUCGGACCGAUGGCCGUUCGGUCGCCUGUCUCGUCGCGUUCACGCGUGCACGGGGCAGACCGCAAUGGUCGAGCGUCCGGCUGCCCGGCGGUAUAGAACGCUAUUGAACGGUAAUGAGCCGCAUUAAGUGCGUUCAGGCUCGUCGGCAGGCUCGUCUCGCCCGGAUUUACGGACCUAGCGCCGUUGCCGGGUGCUUGGCGUGGCCGUUAGUCGACGGUGUCCUCGGACUGGCUCUAAAAUUCGAAAGGAUUACCGGUCGGCGACGCUACUGCUUUGGGUACUUUC
rnacentral:rRNA from 1 species